AUCAAUGAAAACUUCCUCAAAAACGUCACAUCAUAGGCUUUCUGGCGAUAUGAUUGGUUAAGGGAUUUGUGGCGCGAAUUUAUUUUACUACGUGAAGGAAAAAUCAAGAGUUGACCUCUCCCUCCACUAGAGGAAAAACAGCAGGAAGCACUAUGCAUCGUUGAUCUUGACGUCGUCUAAAGGAGAAACUACUGGAUCAUCUGAGAUGGAGGGAGAGAAGUAUGUGCAACUGAGGUGAAAGCAGCCGACUGCUGAUGGCAAACAUGACCCCAAGGACCACGGUGGCAUGGACAUGGGACAUGGAUGGGUAGUUUCUGGAUGAAGAGGAAGACAAUGAUGUGGUAGAGGAGGAGGGUAAUCUCCCAUCAUCCUCAGCUGGAGGAGACAAGUUUCAAGAAAGGUCCUGUAUGAACAAACCAGACAGCAGUGGCUUAGUAUAGUGAACACUGAAAGUUUCUUGAGAAGAUGGAAAGAGGCAGAAAGGCGUGUGAUCUUUUUUUCCCUCUUUCAGCUAAUGGCUGACUCAGUUGCUGGCAGGAUAUGGAAACACACCGGCACCAAAAAUGUGUAUCCUCGUUGCGUGAUGAUAUUUCUAUUGAUAGUCACAACAAGAAAAGGCAUGCAGACAAGCACACAUCAUUUACAAUGUCAUUACUUAUAUCAGAUCAGAUGAAUAAAUGAGUUUAUAGUUUCAACUGAAACAUUAUUAAUGGUUUGUUCCCAUGAGAACCUGUUAUUGAGCAUCAUGCAGUUUGCAUCUCAGGGCUGAAAUGAGAACAAGAGUUUCGUCAUGUAACUGAAUUGCGAUGGCAGCUACUGCCUCAAGCCUUGAAAUGCAGCGUCUUCUGUUCGGGCCUUUUGAGCUAUUGCAGUUAUUUCUCGCUGUG